rnacentral:rRNA from 1 species
UACGGGGGGUGCAGGCGUUGUUCGGAAUCACUGGGCGUAAAGCGCGUGCAGGCGGAUUGUUAAGUCGGGGGUGAAAUCCCGAGGCUCAACCUCGGAACUGCCUUCGAUACUGACGAUCUUGAGUCCGGGAGAGGUGAGUGGAACUCCGAGUGUAGAGGUGAAAUUCGUAGAUAUUCGGAAGAACACCGGUGGCGAAGGCGGCUCACUGGCCCGGUACCGACGCUGAUAUGCGAAAGCGUGGGGAGCAAACAGG